CCCGUCAAGGUCAGCGUGCGGAGUGAGGGGCGCCACCGGGCCUCUCCCGCAGCCCCUCUGUCCGGUCAUACGUUUGCAGCGGUGUGUUCUGGUGGCCGUGGGAAAAAACAAAGCGUUGUUCCUAGUGGAAGCAAAAGGGGUCUCCUGGGCUGGUAAAGAGCCCUUGACAAGCUUGAUUCCAUGUAGCAAAACGUGGUUGUGGCAUCGGGCUCGGCAGAGUGCAGGGAGCGUUUGGGCACUGCUCUUAGACAGAGGGUUUGGAUUUUGGGUGGUGCUGUGUGGAUCCAGGAGCUGGACUCGAUGGUCCUUAUGGGUCCUUUCCAACUCGGGAUUCAUGAUAGUUCCAUGAAAAGAUGUGUAUGUCCUCUACAAAUGCAAACUAAAACACUUAAUAGCUGGCAAUGCACGUAUGUCCCAUGAAUACAGAUAAUAAAGUAAUCACAUGCGAACUUCUGUUAACCUCUAGCAAUGUCAUCAGUGCUGCACAAGGCAUCAAAGGAGAAAACACACCUUCCGAAGACCAGAGGAUUAAGCUGGAAUUGCGUUUCCUGUUUUUCUGUGGCCACUGCCACGAGAGCAGUAACAGAACUCAAAGGAAAAGGUGGGACAUCCUGGAUGUAAAUACAGAUCUAUCAUUGAGAUACAGAAACUAUGUGGUCAAGAGCUGUGAGACAGAAGUAAGAAAAAAAACAAGUAAUCCCUGCCAACUCUGCCUUGCAUAUGCUUGAAAGAAGAGGUGAGCAAAGGACAACUGAGGAUAACUAUGGAAAGGGGUCCUUAGGACCACCAGGAGAGAUUCAUAACACCAGCACUCCAGCACAGAGGGGAGGAGAAAUAUGCAAAGAACUUCUCGGAAACAAUACAAUUAUUUAUGAUUGUUCUCAGAAAUCUAAUGCAUAUGCAUAGCUUAAUUAUAUAUGUAUAGCUACCAUAUGAAAGCAAGGUAUGCACAUUAGGUGGAGCAAUCCCUGUGUAUCCAGCGCUGCAAUAAGAAUGCCUG
ensembl:lncRNA